GCACUCUUAAAAGUGCUGGGUUAUUAUUUUAACUAAAGCACUGGGUUAAUGACAUUUUUACUUUUUAUUGGGUUAUCAUAACCCAUGCUGGGUUAUUGUUAAGACCCAGGUGCUGGGUUAGUGGCUGAGAGCACAAAAAAUCAUGUAAUGCACCCAGUGCCUGGGUAAUUUUAACCCAGUCAUUGGUCAUUAUAAUAUAGUCUACCAGUUGGAUUGACAAUCGCAAAGACAUGAAGACAACAGUCUUGUACCCCUGGAACAGUGUUCUAGAAUAUUUGAUUGCAACCGUUGGUCCUCCACAUCAAGCGACAAGCCGGCAGUGAAAGCUCGAAGGCAAUGUUCAGCCCCACUCAUAUUCCAGAUCCUGCCCAGUUUACAGCUGCAACACAGGACUGUUACAGCGACCUCCACACCACCCUCUUCCAGAGCUCCUUCAGAAGACUAACAAUAGUAAGAUAUUUUACAUGUAAUGUAUGUUAUCAUUUCAUAGUGACAACUGUUAAUUGGCAGAAGGAAGCCAAAUAUGAAGGGCUGGGCUCUCCUGAACGUAAGCUAUUUAGCAUGCAGAUGGAGAACACACUGACACAGGCACACACACACAAAAUACACAGCACAGUCCUAUUCAAAAUGGAGAAUGACAAAAAUUACAGAAAAAGUUUGAGAACCACAGGUGUGGGGUCACUCGUUUAGCUCUGUUAGUUGGACCUGGGUGAUGCUGUUAUUUGUGUAACGGGCCCUUUUUCUGUAUUUCCUAGUGGCACAAGAUGAUUGGCAACAAGAGACACCCAGUGAUGAGCUCUCCUGAAUUGUCCCAUCUGUCCCGUCCAGACCUUCCACACAGGAUCCCUCAAAGUCAAAGAUUUCCCAGAUCAGCUCCUGCAGGAUGCACAGGUAUUUUGGACAAGUUCUCUCUACUGUUGUCACUACACUACUGUAUUAUGAGCAUUGCUAGUUAAUUGUUUUUUUUUUUUUUAGUUUUUUGUAA